UACGUAGGGUGCAAGCGUUACUCGGAAUUACUGGGCGUAAAGCGUGCGCAGGCGGUUUUGCAAGACAGAUGGGAAAUCCCCGGGCUCAACCUGGGAAUUGCAUUUGUGACUGCACGGCUAGAGUGUGUCAGAGGGGGGUAGAAUUCCACGUGUAGCAGUGAAAUGCGUAGAGAUGUGGAGGAAUACCGAUGGCGAAGGCAGCCCCCUGGGAUAACACUGACGCUCAUGCACGAAAGCGUGGGGAGCAAACAGG
rnacentral:rRNA from 1 species